rnacentral:rRNA from 1 species
GGGCCCGCACAAGCGGUGGAGCAUGUGGUUUAAUUCGAUGCAACGCGAAAAACCUUACCUACCCUUGACAUCCUUGGAAUCUUUCAGAGAUGAGAGAGUGCCUUCGGGAACCAAGAGACAGGUGCUGCAUGGCUGUCGUCAGCUCGUGUCGUGAGAUGUUGGGUUAAGUCCCGUAACGAGCGCAACCCUGAUCCUUAGUUGCUACCAGUUUAAGCUGAGAACUUUAAGGAGACUGCCGGUGUUAAACCGGAGGAAGGUUGGGACGACGUCAAGUCAUCAUGGCCCUUAUGGGUAGGGCUACACACGUGCUACAAUGGUUGGUACAGAGGGCAGCGAAGCAGUGAUGUGGAGCGAAUCUCACAAAGCUUGUCUCAGUUCGGAUAGGAGUCUGCAACUCGACUCCUUGAAGUUGGAGUCGCUAGUAA